rnacentral:rRNA from 1 species
CCUACGGGUGGCUGCAGUGAGGAAUAUUGGUCAAUGGACGCAAGUCUGAACCAGCCAUGCCGCGUGCAGGAAGACGGCUCUAUGAGUUGUAAACUGCUUUUGUACGAGGGUAAACGCAGAUACGCGUAUCUGUCUGAAAGUACCGUACGAAUAAGGAUCGGCUAACUCCGUGCCAGCAGCCGCGGUAAUACGGAGGAUUCAAGCGUUAUCCGGAUUUAUUGGGUUUAAAGGGUGCGUAGGCGGUCGGAUAAGUUAGCGGUGAAAUCCCGAGGCUCAACUUCGGGAUUGCCUCUGAUACUGUUAGGCUAGAGAGUAGUUGAGGUAGGCGGAAUGUAUGGUGUAGCGGUGAAAUGCUUAGAGAUCAUACAGAACACCGAUUGCGAAGGCAGCUUGCCAAGCUACUACUGACGCUGAGGCACGAAAGCGUGGGGAGCAAACAGGAUUAGAUACCCCUGUAGUC